rnacentral:snRNA from 1 species
GAAUGUGGGGGCAAUCUGGCUGCUUCAUCUGUCACCCUGUCGAUUGGCUGAUCUGGCUGGCUAGGAGGGUGUCCUGUUCCUCCCUCACCACUCCAUUCACAUCCCUCCAGAAUCUGCACACUCCGUUGAAGAGGACGACCUUCCCUCUAGAGGAGGACAGAUCUUUGGUCAAGGGUGAAUGAGCAGCUGUGCACCCCUGCUAGAACUUCCAAUUAAGCUCUCAUGAAGCGGCUCUAGGAGGCGAUUAGGUCUGAAGGCACAGACGUUUUUGUCAGUGCCUGUAUAACAGAGGCCUGAGAU